rnacentral:sRNA from 1 species
UUUUGUUUUUCUUCUGUU